GAUGAACGCUGGCGGCGUGCCUAAUACAUGCAAGUCGAGCGAACAGACGAGGAGCUUGCUCCUCUGACGUUAGCGGCGGACGGGUGAGUAACACGUGGAUAACCUACCUAUAAGACUGGGAUAAUUUCGGGAAACCGGAGCUAAUACCGGAUAAUAUAUUGAACCGCAUGGUUCAAUAGUGAAAGUCGGUUUUGCUGUAACUUAUAGAUGCAUCCGCGCCGGAUUAGCUAGUUGGUAAGGUAACGGCUUACCAAGGCUACGAUGCGUAGCCGACCUGAGGGGGUGAUCGGCCACACUGGAACUGAGACACGGUCCAGACUCCUACGGGAGGCAGCAGUAGGGAAUCUGCCGCAAUGGGCGAAAGCCUGACGGAGCAACGCCGCGUGAGUGAUGAAGGUCUUCGGAUCGUAAAACUCUGUUAUUAGUGAAGAACAAAUGUGUAAUUAACUAUGCACGUCUUGACGGUACCUAAUCAGAAAGCCACGGCUAACUACGUG
rnacentral:rRNA from 1 species